AGUAGGGAAUCUUCCGCAAUGGGCGCAAGCCUGACGGAGCAACGCCGCGUGAGUGAUGAAGGUUUUCGGAUCGUAAAGCUCUGUUGCCAGGGAAGAACGUCCGGUAGAGUAACUGCUGCCGGAGUGACGGUACCUGAGAAGAAAGCCCCGGCUAACUACGUGCCAGCAGCCGCGGUAAUACGUAGGGGGCAAGCGUUGUCCGGAAUUAUUGGGCGUAAAGCGCGCGCAGGCGGUUAUUUAAGUCUGGUGUUUAAACCUUGGGCUCAACCUGAGGUCGCACUGGAAACUGGGUGACUUGAGUACAGAAGAGGAAAGUGGAAUUCCACGUGUAGCGGUGAAAUGCGUAGAUAUGUGGAGGAACACCAGUGGCGAAGGCGACUUUCUGGGCUGUAACUGACGCUGAGGCGCGAAAGCGUGGGGAGCAAACAGGAUUAGAUACCCUGGUAGUCCACGCCGUAAACGAUGAGUGCUAGGUGUUAGGGGUUUCGAUACCCUUGGUGCCGAAG
rnacentral:rRNA from 1 species